GAUGAACGCUGGCGGCGUGCCUAAUACAUGCAAGUCGAGCGAACAGACGAGGAGCUUGCUCCUCUGACGUUAGCGGCGGACGGGUGAGUAACACGUGGAUAACCUACCUAUAAGACUGGGAUAACUUCGGGAAACCGGAGCUAAUACCGGAUAAUAUAUUGAACCGCAUGGUUCAAUAGUGAAAGACGGUUUUGCUGUCACUUAUAGAUGGAUCCGCGCCGCAUUAGCUAGUUGGUAAGGUAACGGCUUACCAAGGCAACGAUGCGUAGCCGACCUGAGAGGGGGAGCGGCCACACUGGAACUGAGACACGGUCCAGACUCCUACGGGAGGCAGCAGUAGGGAAUCUUCCGCAAUGGGCGAAAGCCUGACGGAGCAACGCCGCGUGAGUGAUGAAGGUCUUCGGAUCGUAAAACUCUGUUAUUAGGGAAGAACAAAUGUGUAAGUAACUAUGCACGUCUUGACGGUACCUAAUCAGAAAGCCACGGCUAACUACGUG
rnacentral:rRNA from 1 species